rnacentral:rRNA from 1 species
AGAGUUUGAUCAUGGCUCAGAAUCAACGCUGGCGGCGUGCCUAACACAUGCAAGUCGAACGAGAAAGCGGGGGCAACUCCGUGAGUAAAGUGGCGACCGGGUGAGUAACACGUGACUAACCUGCCCUUCAGUGGGGGGUAACCUCGGGAAACCGGGGCUAAUACCGCAUAACAUCGCGAGGUGAAAUUCCUUGCGAUCAAAGGAGCAAUUCGCUGAUGGAGGGGGUCGCGGCUGAUUAGCUAGUUGGUGAGGUAACGGCCCACCAAGGCAAUGAUCAGUAGCCGGCCUGAGAGGGCGCACGGCCACACUGGAACUGAAACACGGUCCAGACUCCUACGGGAGGCAGCAGUGGGGAAUUUUGCGCAAUGGGGGAAACCCUGACGCAGCAACGCCGCGUGGAGGAUGAAGUCCCUUGGGAUGUAAACUCCUUUCGAUCGGGACGAUGAUGACGGUACCGGAAGAAGAAGCACCGGCUAACUCUGUGCCAGCAGCCGCGGUAAUACAGAGGGUGCAAGCGUUGUUCGGAAUUAUUGGGCGUAAAGGGCGUGUAGGCGGUGCGGUAAGUUUGUGGUGAAAUCUCCGGGCUCAACUCGGAAAUUGCCGCGAAGACUGCCGUGCUGGAGUAUGGGAGAGGUGAGUGGAAUUCCCGGUGUAGCGGUGAAAUGCGCAGAUAUCAGGAGGAACACCGGUGGUGAAGGCCCGCUCUGGGCCGGAACUGACGCUGAGGAGCGAAAGCGUGGGUAGCAAACAGGAUUAGAUACCCUAGUAGUCC